rnacentral:rRNA from 1 species
AGGGGGACAACCCGGGGAAACUCGGGCUAAUACCGCAUACGCUCUACGGAGGAAAGCAGGGGAUCUUCGGACCUUGCGCUAUUGGAUGGGCCUGCGUUGGAUUAGCUUGUUGGUAGGGUAAAGGCCUACCAAGGCGACGAUCCAUAGCUGGUCUGAGAGGACGAUCAGCCACACUGGGACUGAGACACGGCCCAGACUCCUACGGGAGGCAGCAGUGGGGAAUAUUGGACAAUGGGGGCAACCCUGAUCCAGCAAUGCCGCGUGUGUGAAGAAGGUCUUCGGGUUGUAAAGCACUUUCAGUGGGGAAGAAAAGUGUAAGGUUAAUACCCUUGCAUCUUGACGGUACCU